UACGAAGGGUGCAAGCGUUACUCGGAAUUACUGGGCGUAAAGGGUGCGUAGGUGGUUCUUUAAGUCUGCUGUGAAAUCCCCGGGCUCAACCUGGGAAUGGCAGUGGAUACUGGAGAGCUAGAGUGCGGUAGAGGGUAGUGGAAUUCCCGGUGUAGCAGUGAAAUGCGUAGAUAUCAGGAGGAACACCGGUGGCGAAGGCGGGUCUCUGGGACGGUACUGACGCUGAGACGCGAAAGCGUGGGGAGCGAACAGG
rnacentral:rRNA from 1 species